GAUGCUGGCGUGUUCGGUAGACGCGCUAGCUUGAGGUGCUAGUUGGGAAACCAGUGGAGGUUCGAGUCCUCUUGGCCGCACCA
rnacentral:tRNA from 1 species